AAAUAGGUGUUUCUAGGUUCACGGUACAGAGGAAGGGUCACACUACCACCAGGGUCAUAAAACUACCCCUGGAAAUGCCCACAACUCCUACGAAAGCCUUGUCAAAUAGGUGUUUCUAGGUUCACGGUACAGAGGAAGGGUCACACUACCACCAGGGUCAUAAAACUACUCCUGGAAAUGCCCACAACUCCUACGAAAGCCUUGUCAAAUAGGUGUUUCUAGGUUCACUGUACAGAGGAAGGGUCAGACUACCACCAGGGUCAUAAAACUACUCCUGGAAAUGCCCACAACUCCUACGAAAGCCUUGUCAAAUAGGUGUUUCUAGGUUCACUGUACAGAGGAAGGGUCACACUACCACCAGGGUCAUAAAACUACUCCUGGAAAUGCCCACAACUCCUACGAAAGCCUUGUCAAAUAUGUGUUUCUAGGUUCACAGUACAGAAGAAGGGUCACACUACCACCAGGGUCAUAAAACUACCCCUGGAAAUGCCCACAACUCCUACGAAAGCCUUGUCAAAUAUGUGUUUCUAGGUUCACAGUACAGAAGAAGGGUCACACUACCACCAGGGUCAUAAAACUACCCCUGGAAAUGCCCACAACUCCUACGAAAGCCUUGUCAAAUAUGUGUUUCUAGGUUCACGGUACAGAAGAAGGGUCACACUACCACCAGGGUCAUAAAACUACCCCUGGAAAUGCCCACAACUCCUACGAAAGCCUUGUCAAAUACGUGUUUCUAGGUUCACGGUACAGAAGAAGGGUCACACUACCAACAGGGUCAUACAACUACCCCUGGAAAUGCCCACAACUCCUACGAAAGCCUUGUCAAAUAGGUGUUUCUAGGUUCACGGUACAGAGGAAGGGUCAGACUACCACCAGGGUCAUAAAACUACCCCUGGGAAUGCCCACAACUCCUACGAAAGCCUUGUCAAAUAGGUGUUUCUAGGUUCACGGUACAGAGGAAGG